rnacentral:rRNA from 1 species
UACGUAGGGGGCAAGCGUUGUCCGGAUUUAUUGGGCGUAAAGAGCGUGUAGGCGGUUUGGUAGGUCCGCUGUGAAAACUCGAGGCUCAACCUCGAGACGCCGGUGGAAACCAUCAGACUAGAGUCCGGAAGAGGAGAGUGGAAUUCCUGGUGUAGCGGUGAAAUGCGCAGAUAUCAGGAAGAACACCCGUGGCUAAGGCGGCUCUCUAGUACGGUACUGACGCUGAGACGCGAAAGCGCGGGGAGCGAACAGG